ensembl:misc_RNA Metazoa_SRP Metazoan signal recognition particle RNA
GCCAGGUGUGGUGGUGCACACCUGUAAUCUCGGCUACUCAGGAGGCUGAGACAGGAGGAUUGCUUGAGCCCAGGAGGUCGAGGCUGCAGUGAGCCAUGAUCGCGCCACUGUACUCCAGACUGGGCAACAGUGCAAGACCCUGUCUCGU